CCUUUCAGAGCCUUCCAUGCCGAGUGAGGUUAGGGACCGCGGAAAGGGUAUCGCCUCAAGUUAGCUAGCUGGCGAGGGACUUAUUGAUAGACGCCUUAUAUGUGCAGGCAUAUGGUGGGUCUGGGCACGUACCGGGCGGACCUAUGCUGGGUCCCGGGGCAUGACAGUUACAAGCAUAUGAAUGGCAUACAUCAUGAGCAUAGUGGUUACUUCAUUCAUACCAUGUUGUUGAGGCAUAGUAGCAUGACCUAGCACGAGCGACGCAGUCGAGGAUCGUGGUAAGGGCAUAGCGCCCUAGGUAGCGGACUUUCCUUGCAUUAGCUUACCUUGUAUGUACUAUGUGAGGGCUAUGUUGUAUUUUGGAAAGAACAUGUAGUGAGGACAAGAUGUAUAAACUCAAGUUAUACUUUUGGUGAAUUGUAA